AGCCCCGGGGUGAUCUCACGUCAAAAUGCAAGUUUGAAGAAGGACCCAAGGGGGUCCCGGGGCUU
rnacentral:tRNA from 1 species